GCCUAUCCCUGGUGUAGUGGUUUGAGUACUGGACUAUAACUCUGGAGACUGGGGUUCAAUUCCCUGCUCGGCC